UUCAUGGCAGCCGCAUUGGGAAUUGGGGAUGGAAUAUUCAACACACAGCUUAAUGCUUUGCUUGGGAUGCUCUUUAAGCAUGAUAUGGAAGGAGCAUUUGCACAGCUCAAGGUUUGGCAAUGUGUUUUGAUCGCAAUUGUGUUUUUUGUGAGCCCUUACAUUUCUUUGCAUGCUGUGUUAGUGGUUAUGCUUGUUGCAGUCUGCAUCUAUGUUGGCGGGUUUCUAUUCCUCACUCUUAUGGUCGAGAAAGCAUUCUCUUGUGCUGAUUGAUUUUUUGCAACUGGAUACGUAAUAAAUAUUUAUUGCCAAAACAUGUAUUAUUCACGUCUUACACAUUGAUUGCCUCAGAAAGUUGUAUCUGCCUGUGAAAUCUAUUAAAUAAGAAAAUAUGUUCACCUGUUAAUGUUUCUUCAAAAGAAAAGUAUUGAAAGGCUAAUUUGAAUGUAAUUAUCAGUAUUGUUCUUUUCUA